AUAAGAUGAGCAGUUGCAGUGCCACUUGGGUAUGUUAGUUUGAAGUCUAUUAUCAUUAUCUACAAACACAAAUUGGUAACUGUAAGAUCUUGCAUCAGCAAAUAGUCCACAUUUGGGUUUCCACAGACGAAGAAAAAGCAGAAACCAAACCUUUCGAAGAGGAACAACCGAGAAGAGACCAAGAAAGCUGACAACAAAGAGAAAAGCUAUAAUCCAACCCAAAGAAGGGUCCUUAACGCCACGGGCAACAUCUCCUGACUGGAUAGCUAUUCGUUCGCUCAUUGCAAAUAGGUACGUCCCAAAUCCUCCUGUUGCAAUUUAAUUUAAUAAACAAAGAAGAAAUUAGGGGCAGGUGAAUUAUGUGUGAAGAAGACCUCAAAGAUUUUGACUUUUUUUAUAAAAAAGGUCAGAAAUCAAGAAAAAACACCAAUUUUGAUUCAAAAGUUUGAGAUUUUUGAGAUGGAUUUUUUGUUUUGUUUUGUUUCUAUUACCGCUAAAAGCAAUGCCUGAAGAAGCAACUACACAUGUCUGAAUAACUGUGUUCUCUUGUCUGGUAAAGGGCUGUUUCAAAAGACCAGAUUUAUGAAGCAUCUUAGUCCAUGUCUUGACGAAGAAGAAGCCCAGAAGACCAGCAGAGACAUUAAGCGAAGGGAUGAUUCCUGUUGUGAGGUUAAGCUUCAUAACGAUGAAGCUAAACAAGAUGCUUA
rnacentral:lncRNA from 1 species